rnacentral:rRNA from 1 species
UACGGAGGGGAGCUAGCGUUGUUCGGAAUUACUGGGCGUAAAGCGCACGUAGGCGGCUUUGUAAGUUAGGGGUGAAAGCCUGGAGCUCAACUUCAGAAUUGCCCUUAAGACUGCAUCGCUUGAAUCCAGGAGAGGUGAGUGGAAUUCCGAGUGUAGAGGUGAAAUUCGUAGAUAUUCGGAAGAACACCAGUGGCGAAGGCGGCUCACUGGACUGGUAUUGACGCUGAGGUGCGAAAGCGUGGGGAGCAAACAGG